GGUGCGAUCGAGUGGUCUCAACUC
rnacentral:siRNA from 1 species